GUCCCCUUCGUCUAGAGGCCUAGGACAUCACCCUCUCACGGUGGGAACACGGGUUCGAAUCCCGUAGGGGGCACCA
rnacentral:tRNA from 1 species